AGGUGUCUCCUUCUUGCCAGCUGUUCUUGUCCACCCUGAGCCUGCUGUACAGGAAGUAGGAGCCGUCGGCGUCCAGCUGGGAGAGUAGAGCCCGGAGGACUGCAGGAUGGCCGGGAAGGUGCGCACGCCGCUGGUCAGGGCACCCGAGUUCCAGGUCACGGUCACUGGCUCGGGCAUAUAGCUGGAGACCAGGCAGCCCAGGGUCACGGUGGAGCUGGACGUGUCCCCGCAGCUGGAUGCCAGAGGGUAGACUUUCGGGGGUGUGGUGGAGGCUGUGAGAGAGGAGGCUGGGUGAAUGCAGGGUCCAGCAGGACCUCAGGUGCCCAGGCCUGGGGCACCUCUGAGCCCAGCCACCAUCUGCUUCCAGGGUCUGACGACUGCCCGGCAUAGUGGCCACCCAGCUCUGUGCGCUGCAGCUGGGAUGUCUGGACACAGCUUGGGUCGGUGAGUGUGGCCUCCUGGAUUAGAGCCCAGGGCUGCUUCCCUCCUCUGGGUGCCUGGCCCUUCCCGUGGCCCCUGCUCCCUCAGCCUGGAGGAGCCUGUCCCCCUCAUCCUGCUCUGCCCCCAGCCCCCGUCUGGCCUGGCCUCAGCCCUGCAGGCCGGGGACUUUGGGGCCAGCUCUGCACAGGCGCUCUGGGCUCACGUCCCAGCCCUGAUCCUGGACCCUGUCUCUGAGUUCUCUUCCUUGAUUGUCCCCUCCCAACCCUGGUCCCACCAGGCUCCCAAAGGUGUGUCUCUGGCCCCGUCCCUCACCUGGUUCCCCUGAUUGGCCCUCAGCCCCUGCUCCAGACUCCUGGCUGCCCGGCUCCUCCUCACCAGACCCUCCAGGCCCUGAUCUUCCUGGGUGCACCCCGCGCUCAGCACUGUGGGGGCCUUGCUUGGGCCCUGCCUGCACCUCCAGCACCAGGUGGCUCCACGGGCCCCAGCCCGUCUAACCGGGCUGUCCCUAGAGCCUGGUCAGCUCCGUGGGCCUGCAGCCUCAUCUGAGACCUCGAGGAAGAGCCUGGUCAGCUCCCCGGGCCCCUGCCCGUCUGAGACCUCGAGGAAGAGCCUCAUGUAGUCCCAGCCUUGUCCGCUGUCUUGGCAGCUGCCCCUUGCCUUGGCCGACCCCCAUCCACCCUGAGUCCCCAGAGAUGGCUGCAACACAAUGGGAACCCUGGGCCUGUGAAUGGAGGCCACCUGCUCUCCCACUUGUGGAGAGCCCUCCCACUUCAGGCCAGAGCAUCCUUCAUUUUCCUCUGCACUUGGCCUUGCUAUCCCCGACCCU
rnacentral:lncRNA from 1 species